UGUGUGCAGCGUGUCUGUGAGUGUAACAAAUGUAAGUUCAAUUUGAGGUAAAUGCAUUUGAUUAUCUCAACAAUGUAGCUGACAACAUGAGGAAUACAAUAAAGCUUAUAAAUAUCCUGUCUAGGCACGAGAAGUCUAUUUAUUUGAUUCUGUUCUAUCAUCUAAUGCGGAUAUAAAGUCGGUUGAAGAUUGCACAGGUGAUCACAUGGAAGGCAUCAUUGUUGCCAACUUGCCAUUGUACUUUUAAUAGGCCUAUGAUCAUGUUGAUUGUAAUCUUUUUGUCCUGUAUGAUGGAGAAGAAGGUUUUUGGUGUGAAAUAUAUCUUGUGCUGUAGAAAUGCAUUGUUCUGUGGGUUAUUGAGGUCUUUACGAUGAGAUUGCUAGAAGUUCUUUUUGGAAAUCUAUCUCCAAUCCCUUCUCACUUUGGUUGUGGUUACUCUCAUAGUGUUCAACAUUAAACACCAAUCCUUUUUUAGUUUUACUACCAUAGGCGAAGAUAAUACUGAGAUUAUGGAUGCAAUUGAGAAUAUGGGGUUGAUGCACAUUGAUCGAUUCUCAACACAGCACCUGCACAAAAGGCAGUGCAAGAAGCUUAUUGCCAAGGACAUGUUGUGCUUAUUGCUGCCAUAUUGUCUGCAAUAAUGAGGCAAGGACCUUAAUUCCAUUUGAUAUCUUUUUAACAGAAAAAGGAAAAGUUAGGCGAAAGUUAUGACCCCAUGAUUUUCCAACAUGAGCACCUGGAUCAAAUGUGUACCACAUCUGCCCCAUCAAUAAUGUUGAAUUAUCGAAUUCAGUUUGUCCUAUCUGCAAUGCAAAAGGCAAUUAAAUUUUUUUUUUUUUUUUUUUGGAAGUGGUCUGGCUCUUUCAGUAGUUGAGAAUUUUGCUGGAUCUGA